CAGUCGCCACGGUAAUACGGAGGGUGCAAGCGUUAAUCGGAAUUACUGGGCGUAAAGGGCUCGCAGGCGGUUUCUUAAGUCUGAUGUGAAAGCCCCCGGCUCAACCGGGGAGGGUCAUUGGAAACUGGGAAACUUGAGUGCAGAAGAGGAGAGUGGAAUUCCACGUGUAGCGGUGAAAUGCGUAGAGAUGUGGGGGAACACCAGUGGCGAAGGCGGCAACCUGGCUCAUUACUGACGCUGAGGCGCGAAAGCGUGGGGAGCAAACAGGAUUAGAUACCCCAGUAGUCCCUGUCUCUUAUAC
rnacentral:rRNA from 1 species